rnacentral:rRNA from 1 species
AACGAACGCUGGCGGCAUGCCUAACACAUGCAAGUCGAACGAAGGCUUCGGCCUUAGUGGCGCACGGGUGCGUAACGCGUGGGAAUCUGCCCUUGGGUUCGGGAUAACAGUGAGAAAUUACUGCUAAUACCGGAUGAUGACUUCGGUCCAAAGAUUUAUCGCCCAGGGAUGAGCCCGCGUAGGAUUAGCUAGUUGGUGGGGUAAAGGCCUACCAAGGCGACGAUCCUUAGCUGGUCUGAGAGGAUGAUCAGCCACACUGGGACUGAGACACGGCCCAGACUCCUACGGGAGGCAGCAGUGGGGAAUAUUGGACAAUGGGCGAAAGCCUGAUCCAGCAAUGCCGCGUGAGUGAUGAAGGCCUUAGGGUUGUAAAGCUCUUUUACCCGGGAAGAUAAUGACUGUACCGGGAGAAUAAGCUCCGGCUAACUCCGUGCCAGCAGCCGCCGCAGUAA